rnacentral:tRNA from 1 species
GCAGAUGUGGUGAAACUGGUAUACACGCAGUCUUGAGGGGGCUGUAAGCAUAGCUUGUGUGGGUUCGACUCCCAUCAUCUGCACCA